rnacentral:rRNA from 1 species
AACCUACGGGAGGCAGCAGUAGGGAAUCUUCCACAAUGGACGAAAGUCUGAUGGAGCAACGCCGCGUGAGUGAAGAAGGGUUUCGGCUCGUAAAGCUCUGUUGGUAGUGGAGAAAGAUAGAGGGAGUAACUGGCCUUUAUUUGACGGUAAUUACUUAGAAAGUCACGGCUAACUACGUGCCAGCAGCCGGGGUAAUACGUAGGGGGCGAGUAUUGUCCGGAUUUAUUGGGCGUAAGGCGAGUGCAGGCGGGUGCA